GGCGGGGCUUCCACGGAGGCCUCGUGUAGGCCUCUGUGAAGCCUGAACUCGAGUAGGGCCCAAGCCAGCCAGGAAGGAGGAGGCAGCCAGAGUGGCCACCACUGUUCUCUGAAGCAGAAGACCCCUUGCUGCCAGGCCAAUUAUGAACUUUCCUGGCCUCCUUUGAUUGAUGUUCUGUCUGUGAACUAUAUAUCCUCCUACUGAUUCUUCAUGUCAGCUGGAAUGCUUUGCGCUAUCAGUCCAAGAUUUGAGGUGCCUUUCAUCAACAUUUCUAUGCUGCUGCUAUACCACAUGGACCGUCAGUGAUGGAUGGGGAAACAGGGGACCAGAAAAGCCUUAGCACUGAAUAAUGGAACUCCUGUAUUGUGCAAAGAAAGAAAGAAAGAAAGAAAGAAAGAAAGAAAGAAAGAAAGAAAGAAAGAAAGAAAGAAAGGAGAAAUUAUAAUGAUGUGAUAGAUACCCCACCAGCCACAAUGCAGUUCUUGUUGUAAAUGUAACGUAAGGAAAACAGAACUGUCUGAGGGGGAGAAAAUUCUAACCACCACAGUGGAAUGAGAAGUUGACAAGUCGAGGAAUUACACAAGGCAAGUCAUUUCAUCCCAGCAAUAAAUGGAAAAGAUUCAAGCCUGGACAAAAUGAUAUCCAAUAUUCCAUCUCUCGGUCGAUGGUACGGACGUGCAAAGAGUGCAGCUACAUAUGGCGCCCUCUUCUUCACGGCGACCCCUUGCUGAGGGAAAGGAAUACUCAUUCUGGGAAGGCAGCAAUGAAGGAAUAAAAGUAGAAGACAUGCUUUGCAGUUUUGGGCAAGAAGAGUCAGACUGAUAUGCGAUGCCCUAUGCAAUAUGAGGAAGCAUCCCUUGGUGCAAGUUGCCUCACACCUAGCAGAGAUGAAUAAAUCAAGUCUCCAUAAAACCUCCUGUGUGCCAUCUCAAGAGUGCUACAGGGCUCCAUCAUGUCCAGGGACAUCAAAGAGUACUUCUGGAAAACUGCCCCUGCUGCACAAGAACACUCAUGCUUUGAAAGCUGGUCUUAUGGUAAAGUAAAAGGAUCCCCCUUGGGACAAAUGUCCAAACAAACAACCUGCAAAAGAUAACUGGAUAGGAUACAACAAAAUGGCACUAGUACUGCCCUGCACCUGAGAGGAGGAUGCCUACCUAUUCUUCUAGGUGUGGAUGAAGAAAAUGCAUAUAUAUCUUCUUGAGUGUAAGAGUGCGAUGUGCCUCCAUUUUCAGUCUAGUGAAAAAUAUCUUCCCAGAUACCCAAAGAUUGGGAAGCAUUGGGAUCUGUGCUAAAAAGAAAGAAAAAAAAUGUAUACAUCAGAGAGAGAGAGAGAGAGAGAGAGAGAGAGAGAGAGAGAGAGAGAUGAGUUGCAUGAGUUGUGAAUUGUAAAAAAUACAACCCCAAGCCUCCAACAUUCAUCUUCUGAGCUUGAAAACUAAUUUGGGCAAAGCAGUUUCUUUUCCUUUGGCCUCCAUGAACAUUGUUUAAAAUACAGUUUUAUGACUUCUGCGAUCAGAUUACUGUAUAUUAUCUAGGAGUGCAAAAUGAGAUCUGUCUGGGCAGUCAGUGAGAUGUCAUUCAUUACUGUUUCACCUCAGGGACUUGGAUAUUCAAUCUGAAAAAAUAAACUUUCUAUGUAUAUUCUACCUAUAUGACAAGCUCUGCUGUUAUAACUUCCUUUCUGAUAUACAGCUUCUGUCUCCCGCUUGCAGCUAUAUGAAACCCUACCAGUCUUUCUUUAGCUAAAACUUCCUUCUAAAAACCCCAAAGAAUACACUGCUCCGUGGAUUUCUGCUUCUUUUUUCUUGUUUGAAACAAACAAACAACCAGGCUUCUACAAACAAUGUUUUUCACUAGAAAUUGAUAAGGUCAGCAAUAGCCACUAAUGUUGCUGCUGGACCAAUACUCAAAACAUCUAUGCUUUUUAUGCAGUAAGGAAGAGGAGGGGGUGGAGUCAGCAGUGGCCUUUCACGUGGCAUCCUAUCACUCCUAUAUCAGUGCUGUGCCUAGGAGUGCUAGCACAGUCUCAAGAUUUAACUUAUUUCCAUUUCCUAUGGAGAAGCUGGGAAAUGCUUGACUAACAAGCAGAAGGUUGAUGGUUCGAAUCCCCACUGGUACUAUAUCGGGAGCUGCAGUGAUAUAGGAAGAUGCUGAAACGCAUCAUCUCAUACUGCGCGGGAGGAGGCAAUGGUAAACCCUUCCUGUAUUCUACCAAAGAACACCACAGGGCUCUGUGGGCUCCAGGAAUCCAAAUCGACUUGAUGGCACACUUUACUUUAUGAAGAAGGAACUGCAGAGCCAUCUAUGGGGAUAGGCAGACAAAAAGUGAAAUAUUUGUUGGUUUGUUUCUCAGAUUUUUAUACUGCCACAAACUUCUGUCUCUGGGGAGCUUACAACAACAUAAAACAGAUUAAAAAUAAAAAUCUUAAAGCAACUUAAAACCACAAUCGGGUUAAAAAUCUUGAGUGGUGGAAAAAAAGUCUUUAGAGACUUUUAAAAAGUUGUCAGAGAUGGAGAGGCUCUUCUUUCAGCUGGGAGCGCAUUCCAGAGACUUGGGGCAGCAACAGAGAAGGCCUGUCCCUGCAUUGCCACCAGACGAGCUGGUGGCAACUGUAGACGAACCUCUCCAGAUGAUCUCAAUGGGUAGUGGGGAUCAUAGUGACGAAGACAUCCUCUUAAAUACCCAGGGCCUAAGCUGUUAAGGCAUAGGUAUAAUAUAUACUUAAGCUGAUUUACUAGUUAUUUUUCUUCCUGGAAAGCUCUGCAACCUGUGAUUCUAAUUUUGCAAAGCUGUACUAAAGGUAAAGUGUGCCGUCGAGUCAGUUUCGACUCCUAGCAACUACAGAGCCCUGUGGUUGUCUUUGGUAGAAUACAGGAGUUUACAGGGGUUUACCACGCAGUAUGAGAUGAUGCCUUUCAGCAUCUUCCUAUAUCGCUGCUGCCCAAUAUAGGUGUUUCUCAUAGUCUGGGAAACAUAGUCUGGGAAACAUACCAGUGGGAAUUCGAACCGGCAACCUCUGGCUUGAUAAUGAAAUCAUUUCCCCACUGAGCCAUUAGGUGGCUGUACUAGGGACCUCUAAUAAAGAUUUCUUAGCACUUUCCCCAAACUACAAUUCCCAUGAUUCUUUGUGGGAGAAACCAUGACUGUAAAACUAGUAUAAAACCGACACAUGAUUGAUAAUAGUCCUAUUCAAGCCCUAUUCAGACAUUAUGUUGUAUGUGCGUAUAGUUGUCUGUACACAUAUGCAUAUUUUUGUUUGAAUGACCAUCCAUCCAUCCGCUUUAAAAGUGAACCUACCGAUAGGGAAUGCAUUAUUGCAUAUGUGCUGAAUAUAACAUAUGAAUAACUACAUGCAUACAGAACUGAACAUAUAUUACGUGCACAUAGACUACAUGUGCAUCAAACAAAAGGCAUGAAUAGGGCUUUGGGCGUUGGUUAAAGCAUGGACACUGUGCUCAGGUACAUCAUCCAUGAGCGUGUGCUGGAAACCCCACCUCCAUGCCAAUGGGCUUUCUAGCUCCAUCCCCUGCUGCACUCAUUGACAGUGUGGGGACAGGGCUAUGGAGCCCAUAGGUAUGGGGCAGGAUUGCUGAGGUGCUUGUGUGCAGGAGUGGAGCCACCAUUGGGAGAACAGGUUCAAAGAACCCAGGCCGCUGCUCCUCAGGGGCCGCGCCUUGUGGCCGCAGACACCCCCCUCCCGCGUCUGACAUCAGAUGCGGUGUGUGUGUGUGUGUGUGUGUGUGUGUGUGAUUUUGCUCCCCAAAAGGCAGAGAGAGCCGUUCCUGGCCACAGUGCAAAUGCAGCGCAGGCCAAUUUCAUCCUGGAGUGGCUCUCCCUGCCUUUGGCAGGGAGAGUUCCUCCAGUGAAUGCAGCGCUGGAUGACUGAGCUCCUAAAUGGGGCCGCGUGGGAUUCAAACCACGCGGGAUUGAAUGAGAUUCAAACCACGCCCCCACAUUUGACAUCAGAUGCGGGGGGCAUGGCUAACCGCUCCCUGCGUCUGACGUCAGAUGCAGGGGCAGGGCUGGGGGGGGGGCUCGGCAGAGGAAGCACCCGGGCUGCCACUGGCCUCCCUCCUCCACGCCUGCUUGUGUGGAUGGUUUACCUGGGUACAGAGUCUAUGCUUUCCCAAAUACCUGACUACGACUAUGCUUAUACACAUGACCACUAUACCUUGCUGCUGCAGCACAAUGCCAGUCUCUAGGAUCUGACUGUGUUAAGCUCACAAAGACAGGACUAGGCCACAACUGUGGACAACCACACUUAGCUCUUGCAGAAGCAUUUUUCAGCUAAGGGCCCCUGAGGCCCGCGGCUUGCUCUGGCAGCUGGAGCAAAGAGAAUAUACUUUGCUAUUGACAAGGAAGAACAGAAGGCCAACCUCCUGCUUAAAAUGAGGCCUGGCCAACCCAGAGGCCUCGUAUGACUUGCCAAUCUCAGGGGCUGAUGUGGCACACUUCCAUUUCCUUCUGUGCCUGAAGAGGGCUUUGAAACUUGAGCAUACACAAGGGCAGUUCACAUGGUGGUUAACUGGGUAGGACAAGCACCCUACCCAUCUCUGAGAGCUGUGCAUGCUCCUGAUCUUUGAUUGUGUGCAAGCAAAAACCUAGGUAGGAGGGGUGGCGAGUGAUCAUCUGUGGGCGAGGAGCUGGGAAGGAUGGCGCUGUCCUCCCCAGCACCUGAGGUCGGAGGAAAAACUGUCGUACCCAACUCCUCUCUUGCAGACAAUCACUCCCUCCUGCUAGGUUUUUGUUAGCAAACAAUCAAAAACCAGGAGUGCAGACAGUUCUCUCAGCUGGGUAGGAUGCCGAUCAUGUGAACCCAAUUGAGAUCAUGUGAUCUCAAUCACAUUUUUUAGAAAGCUUGUGAAAUGUUGGCUUUUUACCCAGACUUUUAUAUGACUGCUCCUAUUGCGGCUGCUUUGCAUCUUGUUGUUGUUGUUGUUGUUAUAUUGUGCUUGUUUUUUAAUCUUUUCAACAGAUCUGUAUUUUUAUAUUCUAGUUGAUAUUUUAAUUGUGUAA